rnacentral:rRNA from 1 species
GCUUACGGCCAUACCACCCUGGAAAUGCCCGAUCUCAUCUGAACUCGGAAGGCCAAUACCAUGGUGCUUGUAUAGCUUUCUCGAAGUGCGUGUCAUUUGGCGGGCUGGUUUAAAUA